rnacentral:rRNA from 1 species
CGCGUAGGCGGGCUGUUAAGUCGGGGGUGAAAUCCCGGGGCUCAACCCCGGAACUGCCCUCGAUACUGGCAGCCUAGAGGUCUGGAGAGGCGAGUGGAAUUCCGAGUGUAGAGGUGAAAUUCGUAGAUAUUCGGAGGAACACCAGUGGCGAAGGCGGCUCGCUGGCCAGAUACUGACGCUGAGGUGCGAAAGCGUGGGGAGCAAACA